GCCAAAGCUUGUGCUACUGUAAGAAAUUUAAAUGAGAUACCAUUCUAUAAUAAGGUUUGUCGUGGUGUUGUUUUGAAUGUGCGGGAAACGAUGGGGUUUUGCUAUUUCGUGCUAUGUGAUAAAAGGAAAAAUCAAAGGAAAACGGAAAAUUCUCUCGUAAUGUUCUCUCGUAAUGUUCUCUCGGGUAUACAUUGUCGGGUCGUAGAUGUACCAUGAUAUGAGAUGAUGGCUUCAGCUCCAAGACAUGUUCUCCCCCAUAUUCAACACAAAAUGUGAACCAGUUUGCUUGUCUGGUUUGCUUGGCUUGAUAGCUAAACUGAGGAGUAUAAUAUUCAUUCAGACACAUCUGCAUCUUGUUUGAAUAACAUAAAGCAGACGACAUUUUUAGUGUCAUGACCCCCAUUACGGCUAUCGGGAAAUCUUCCCCAAAUUGUGGUUGAAUGAGCCGUAUUUUCUUGGAUUUCUUAAAGAUUUUUCCCCUUGUGUGAUAAGAGACGCGGCGCUGUGUUUAACUGUUCAUCCUGAGGGAGUCUAUUUGUCCUUUAUGGGAAAAAUUACUCCGUUUACGACAGACUCUCUACUGCCCCGCGAAGAGAAGGGCCUCACAGCUUUCACAUUACUACCCAUGAGAUGUUUACGAUUAAAAGCCUAUCUCCUCUCUUUCCAAUUUCUUAACCCCUAACCGAAAUGUUUUCUUUUUUUAUCGAAAACUCUAGCCUGAAAAAACAAAAUUACCAUUUUCUUUUACAAGUCCUGCAUUUCUCCUAAUAGAAUUAAAAUGUGCUAGCAGCUGUAUCCACAACUCCAAGUUAAGUAUCUAAUAUGACAAACUGCUAGAGACGGUGGUUGGCUUUCUCUUCCGCUUCCCCCAACAGGGGCCAACUUUGACUGUCACAGCAAACAAGGGCGUUUCUAACUCUGCACUUAAACUUGAGACGACUUGCCUAAGUCGGAAACAUGCAUAAUCGAUGCUUUGUGACGAAGCAGCGUCUAGUUGUAUCCGGAUGGCCCUCCUCUGUUGUCCAAAGUAACUUGAGCGUGAGAUAAUUCCUUCGCGAAAAACCGUGUGUAUUGUUACAUGGCAACGUGGUUGUGCGGUGAGCAUGAAUUCGAUCUCUCUUUUUACAGUUUGCAAUCGCGAAAGCUGUAAGUUAAUGUUAAAGAGCAAUUGUGAAUGUUGUAUCGGGUGGCUGUUGCACUAAAUAAUAAUAAUACGUUUGACAAAAAACGAAAGGCACCUAAAUGUGUGAUCACGGGGGCGUUAUGGUUAUAAACAAAGCCAGUUAUUUAUAUUACUUUGAAUUUGUCAAUAGUUCUUAACUAAU